UUCAUCGAAAUUAGCUAUUCUUUCAUAUCGUCUAAAAAUUUCGAAAAAGUCUUCUGGACUUCAGAUUUGGUAAGCUUAAAGAAAUUCGGAAUUCCCGGUGCGAGUCGGCUUGUAGCUUUGGUUUUUAAAGAGCUGUAGGGGUAUUUAUGGAUAUUAUAUGGAUAAUGUAUGGAUAAUAUAAGGAUAGGAUCUGCUUGGUCUAUAGAUAGGACAAGACCCUCCACAGCCCAGGCGACGAGGCUUCCUUCAUCUUCCCCUUGUUCAUUCGGCAUUUCCGGAUGUGAGGAAGAGGUGAGUUGGCAUGUUAUCAAGAUGGUUGCCAAAACUCGACUCAGGUCGAGUCGCAGAUCGCAGAUCGCGGAUCGCAGCGAACAAAUCAAUAUGCAAAUUGCGGCACUUAAAUAAAAACACGCUAAUUUAUUAUAAUUUU